rnacentral:rRNA from 1 species
GUGGGGAAUCUUGCGCAAUGGGCGAAAGCCUGACGCAGCCAUGCCGCGUGAAUGAUGAAGGUCUUAGGAUUGUAAAAUUCUUUCACCGGGGACGAUAAUGACGGUACCCGGAGAAGAAGCUCCGGCUAACUUCGUGCCAGCAGCCGCGGUAAUACGAAGGGGGCUAGCGUUGCUCGGAAUUACUGGGCGUAAAGGGCGCGUAGGCGGACAGCUUAGUCAGAGGUGAAAGCCCAGGGCUCAACCUUGGAAUUGCCUUUGAUACUGGCUGGCUUGAGUUUGGGAGAGGUGAGUGGAACUCCGAGUGUAGAGGUGAAAUUCGUAGAUAUUCGGAAGAACACCAGUGGCGAAGGCGACUCACUGGCCCAAUACUGACGCUGAGGCGCGAAAGCGUGGGGAGCAAACAGGAUUAGAUACCCGGGUAGUCC